CAUGUAGUUCCGCCCACCUUUCCAACACUCUAGAAUUUCAGUUUCGUCGGCCAGCUAAUGGUUGAGCCACUAGUUUUCACCGUCGACUUGAUAUCCCGCCUAGAUGCCCUUUAUGCCCAAUAAUUCCGGAUAACGCUUGCGACAUACGUAUUACCGCGGCUGCUGGCACGUAUUUAGCCGUCGCUUAUUCUGUUGGUACAGUCACUUGCUUCUUCCCAACUUAAAGCACUUUACGAUCCGAAAACCUUCUUCGUGCACACAGAAUUGCUGGAUCAGAGUUUCCUCCAUUGUCCAAUAUUCCCCACUGCUGCCUCCCGUAAGAGUAAGGGCCGUAUCUCAGUCCCCUUGUGGCCGUCCACCCUCUCAGGCCGGCUACCUAUCAUCGUCUUGGUGAGCCAUUACCUCACCAACUAACUAAUAGGACGCAAAGCUCUCGUAUGGCAAAUUUAUUAUUUCAUAAAAGAUAGAUGCCUAUCUCUCAUUAUAUUCGGUCUUAUCCGUCGUUUCCAUCGGUUAUCCCCAUCCAUACGGCAAGUUCUUUACGCGUUACUCACCCGUCCGCCAUGAUUCCUCUUCCCGAAAGAAGUCUUCUCAUAGACUUGCAUGUGUUAAGCAUUCUGUCAGCGUUCAUCCUGAGCCAGGAUCAAACUCU
rnacentral:rRNA from 1 species